CCUACGGGAGGCAGCAGUGAGGAAUAUUGGUCAAUGGGCGCGAGCCUGAACCAGCCAAGUAGCGUGAAGGAUGAAUGCCCUACGGGUUGUAAACUUCUUUUAUAAAGGAAUAAAGUGAGGCACGUGUGCCUUUUUGUAUGUACUUUAUGAAUAAGGAUCGGCUAACUCCGUGCCAGCAGCCGCGGUAAUAAGGUGGAUCAGAGCGUUAUCCGGAUUAAUUGGGUUUAAAGGGAGCGUAGAUGGGUUGUUAAGUCAGUUGUGAAAGUUUUCGGCUCAACCGUAAAAUUGCAAUUGAUACUGGCAGCCUUGAGUACAGUUGAGGUAGGCGGAAUUCGUGGUGUAGCGGUGAAAUGCUUAGAUCUCACGAAGAACUCCGAUUGCGAAGGCAGCCUACUAAACUGCCACUGACAUUGAUGCGCGAAAGUGUGGGUAUCAAACAGGAUUAGAUACCCCAGUAGUC
rnacentral:rRNA from 1 species